AACGUAGGAGACAAACGUUAUCCGGAGUUACUGGGCGUAAAGGGUGUGUAGGCGGUUGUUUAAGUUUGGUGUGAAAUCUCCCGGCUCAACUGGGAGGGUGCGCCGAAUACUGAAUGACUAGAGUGCGGGAGAGGAAAGUGGAAUUCCUGGUGUAGCGGUGAAAUGCGUAGAUAUCAGGAGGAACACCGGUGGUGUAGACGGCUUUCUGGACCGUAACUGACGCUGAGACACGAAAGCGUGGGUAGCAAACAGG
rnacentral:rRNA from 1 species